UACAUAAUAUUUCUAAAUCAAUUGCUUACAUUGCCUGCGUAUGUCUCUUCCGCUAUUUCCUUAUGAAUCGCUCACUGGAAGACCAAAUAAAAGCUAUUGUUUACGGUGACGAAAUCCCCUCUUAUCAAUAUAUGUUCAAACUGUUUCAUAGCUAUUUGAUAACGGGUGUGCGCAUACAAGUGCCAAAUUUGAGAUAUGAAAGACCCUUGCAUACGUUUGAGUGGGUUAUUGACAAAAAACCCAUAGUUGAUCCAAUUGAAAAAGAUAGCCCAGAUGAGGAUGAGUUGCCACCACCCACAAAGCUGAAUCUUACGUCAUUUCGAGACAUCAACAAUCAGGCCUCCCAGUCUACCAAAGAACAGCUUAAGGACGCAUAAUUUAAUGUACUCGCAAUUGUUGUCCGCUGCUUCCCACCAAGGUUUGUUGCAAAAGUGCAGAAAAGAUUGCAAGAACUCAUUCUCAUCGAUACCGACAAACAAACUUUCACCUUCGCAUUGUGGGAAGAGGCUAUUAUUGAGGACGAAGGCAGGAAACUCCUUAGGUAAUUCCAAGAACGACCUAUCAUCUUUGCCAGGCGUAUUGGGGUAUCCAAGUACAAUGGUACAUCGUUGACAACAAAAUUUAACAUAACAAUAGAGAUUGAUCCGCCUUAUUUCCAAUGCCUACAACUGCACACAUGGGUCGCGGAAAACAGAGAAAUUCUUGCUUCUUUCAGUCUGAGGAGCACGUCUGAAUUUGGAUCUCUUAUCAGUGUUUCAGUGGAUGAACAAAUAGUGCCAAUUGCAAAUGUUCAAUCACAACAGGACGGGCAUUCCUUCUCCAUUGAGGCAAAAGUAUCACUUCCAAAUAAACUCAAAAGUUGCUAUGUUUUACUAUGUCCCAACUGCAAACAAGAAGUGAGAAGUUCAAUAAAAAGAAAGUUUCAGUGUAUGACUUGUAAGCAACAAAAUAUGUUGAUUCCCAGGUACUUUUACCUCUAAGUUUACACAUACAU